rnacentral:rRNA from 1 species
UACGUAGGGCGCAAGCGUUUGUCCGGAAUUAUUGGGGCGUAAAGAGCUCGUAGGCGGCCUGUUACGUCUGCUGUGAAAUCCCGGGGCUUAACCCCGGGCGUGCAGUGGAUACGGGCAGGCUGGAGGCAGGCAGGGGAGAACGGAAUUCCCGGUGUAGCGGUGAAAUGCGCAGAUAUCAGGAGGAACACCGGUGGCGAAGGCGGGGUCUCUGGGCAGUAACUGACGCUGGAGGAGCGAAAGCGUGGGGAGCGAACAGG